rnacentral:rRNA from 1 species
AUUGAGCGCUGGCGGCAUGCCUUACACAUGCAAGUCGAACGGCAGCACGGGAGCAAUCCUGGUGGCGACUGGCGAACGGGUGCGUAAAGUAUCGGAACGUGCCCAGUCGUGGGGGAUAACGUAGCGAAAGCUACGCUAAUACCGCAUACGAUCUAUGGAUGAAAGCGGGGGAUCGCAAGACCUCGCGCGAUUGGAGCGGCCGAUAUCAGAUUAGGUAGUUGGUGGGGUAAAGGCUCACCAAGCCGACGAUCUGUAGCUGGUCUGAGAGGACGACCAGCCACACUGGGACUGAGACACGGCCCAGACUCCUACGGGAGGCAGCAGUGGGGAAUUUUGGACAAUGGGCGAAAGCCUGAUCCAGCCAUGCCGCGUGCAGGAUGAAGGCCUUCGGGUUGUAAACUGCUUUUGUACGGAACGAAAAGGUUUGGCCUAAUAAGCUGAGCUCAUGACGGUACCGUAAGAAUAAGCACCGGCUAACUACGUGCCAGCCGCCGCAGUAA